GACGAACGCUGGCGGCGUGCUUAACACAUGCAAGUCGAACGGAAAGGCCCUGCUUUUGUGGGGUGCUCGAGUGGCGAACGGGUGAGUAACACGUGAGUAACCUGCCCUUGACUUUGGGAUAACUUCAGGAAACUGGGGCUAAUACCGGAUAGGAGCUCCCGCUGCAUGGUGGGCGUUGGAAAGUUUCGGCGGUUGGGGAUGGACUCGCGGCUUAUCAGCUUGUUGGUGGGGUAGUGGCUUACCAAGGCUUUGACGGGUAGCCGGCAUGAGAGGGUGACCGGCCACAUUGGGACUGAGAUACGGCCCAGACUGCUACGUGAGGCAGCAGUGGGGAAUAUUGCACAGUGGGCGGAAGCCUGAUGCAGCAACGCCGCGUGCGGGAUGACGGCCUUCGGGUUGUAAACCGCUUUCGCCUGUGACGAAGCGUGAGUGACGGUAAUGGGUGAAGAAGCACCGGCUAACUACGUG
rnacentral:rRNA from 1 species